GAUGAACGCUGGCGGCGUGCCUAAUACAUGCAAGUCGAGCGAACAGAUGAGGAGCUUGCUCCUCUGACGUUAGCGGCGGACGGGUGAGUAACACGUGGAUAACCUACCUAUAAGACUGGGAUAACUUCGGGAAACCGGAGCUAAUACCGGAUAAUAUAUUGAACCGCAUGGUUCAAUAGUGAAAGACGGUUUUGCUGUCACUUAUAGAUGGAUCCGCGCCGCAUUAGCUAGUUGGUAACGUAACGGCUUACCAAGGCAACGAUGCGUAGCCGACCUGAGAGGGUGAUCGGCCACACUGGAACUGAGACACGGUCCAGACUCCUACGGGAGGCAGCAGUAGGGAAUCUUCCGCAAUGGGCGAAAGCUUGACGGAGCAACGCCGCGUGAGUGAUGAAGGUCUUCGGAUCGUAAAACUCUGUUAUUAGGGAAGAACAAAUGUGUAAGUAACUAUGCACGUCUUGACGGUACCUAAUCAGAAAGCCACGGCUAACUACGUG
rnacentral:rRNA from 1 species